rnacentral:rRNA from 1 species
AUAAACAAUUCCUUCGGGCUCUUCGUGAUUCAUAAUAACUUCUCGAAUCGCACGGCCUUGCGCCGGCGAUGGUUCAUUCAAAUUUCUGCCCUAUCAACUUUCGACGGCUGGGUCUUGGCCAGCCGUGGUGACAACGGGUAACGGAGGGUUAGGGCUCGACCCCGGAGAAGGAGCCUGAGAAACGGCUACUACAUCCAAGGAAGGCAGCAGGCGCGCAAAUUACCCAAUCCCGACACGGGGAGGUAGUGACAAUAAAUACUGAUACAGGGCUCUUUCGGGUCUUGUAAUUGGAAUGAGUACAAUUUAAAUCCCUUAACGAGGAACAAUUGGAGGGCAAGUCUGGUGCCAGCAGCCGCGGUAAUUCCAGCUCCAAUAGCGUAUAUUAAAGUUGUUGAGGUUAAAAAGCUCGUAGUUGAACCUUGGGCCUAGCCGGCCGGUCCGCCUCACCGCGUGCACUGGCUCGGCUGGGUCUUUCCUUCUGGAGAACCGCAUGCCCUUCACUGGGUGUGCCGGGGAACCAGGACUUUUACUCUGAACAAAUUAGAUCGCUUAAAGAAGGCCUAUGCUCGAAUACAUUAGCAUGGAAUAAUAGAAUAGGGACGUGUGGUUCUAUUUUGUUGGUUUCUAGGGACCGCCGUAAUGAUUAAAAAGGGGACAGUCCGGGGGCAUCAGUAUUCAAUUGUCAAAAGGUUGAAAUUCUUGGAAUUUAUUGAAAGAACUNAACUUACUGGCGAAAAACAAUUUUNCCCAAAAGGGAUNGUUUUUCCNUUUAAAUUCAAGGNAACCGAAAAAAGUUUAANGGGGGGAAU